rnacentral:lncRNA from 1 species
AUGAAAACAGCUCUUACAAGCCAUCAGGGGAUGGGCAGCCCUGCCGACUCAGUGUGUUUAGCUAAUAUGGAACAGGAGGAGGUGGAAGUUCUUGGAUUUAUUUUUGUUUUAAACAGCACCUCUGCUUCAGAAGGAGCUGUAUUGAUGGACUCCAAAAGAAAGCUGAGGUCAACUCUUUGUCUUGUAUCCCACAUUUCAGAAGUAAUGCAAGAUUCAUACCAGGAAAACAGAACAUGCAGCCCAAAAAAGCAAGGCCAGCUGCCAAGGAAUCACUGCAGAGAGGAGGAACACAAAUAAGACUGAUCUUAACCAAAUAUGAAAUAUUAAAGUAUUAAUAUAUUUAAUGAAACCAGAAGUUGCUGUUAUAAUUAAUUUCCUUUCUGAGAAGAAAUAUUGCCAGCUUCUUUUGGAAAGAAUGUAAGUAAUCCUUUAAAAGAAAACCAGAGCAAAUGUAUGAAAACCUUUCCCUUCUCUUCCUUAAAUCUCAACCAUAAAGACUUUUAUUAAUCACCUGAAGAGCAUGGAAUGGCUCCAUGAAGCAGAGCUGGUAGUAGUGCAUGUGUAUGUCUUCAUUACCAGCACAGACACACCAAAUGGUUCCUGUUCUCUUCCUGGCUGGAGACAAAGCAAAAAGAAGUCUUGCCAAGUAUCUAAAAUAGAUAUUUUUUAUUUUUUUUUUU